CCCGCUGAUGAUCUUGGUCGGACCAUUGCUGAUGCACGGAGACGCUGCGAAACUGACAAGGAUAGGGAGAAUUUGGAUCGCAUGUUAGAGGAUCACAAAAAGUCGUUGUAUCCAGGAUGCGAUAAUAGUCUGAAAAAGCUGGGCUACACACUGGAUUUGCUAAAAUGGAAGGCACAGGAAGGUGUAGGUGACUCAUCAUUUGAAAAUUUGCUGAAAAUGUUGAAGAAUAUGUUUCCGAAGAAUAACGAGUUGCCCGCCAGUACGUACGAAGCAAAGAAGGUUGUCUGCCCUCUAGGUUUAGAGGUUCUGAAGAUACAUGCAUGCAUUAACGACUGCAUCCUCUACCGCGGUGAAUACGAGAAUUUGAAUGAAUGC
rnacentral:rRNA from 1 species